CAAGUGGUUAGCGCACUUGCCUUUCACCUCUGAGGCUGCAGGUUCGAGUCUCACUAAGUACCUUCUCAGUGCGACUCGAACCCAGUCCCCAUGUGAAAAGAGUAAAAGUCAACGCUCUGCCGAAAGCCUUGGGUUUUCCCCGGGUACUCCGGUUUCCUCCCAUAGGGAAAGUUGACAGGGUGGGUUAGGUAAAAAGGGCCCACAGUAAUUGGCAUAUGCUGUUGUGGUGACCCUGCCCUAGUUGGCAAAGCUAAAUAAAUAAAUAAAUAU